rnacentral:tRNA from 1 species
GACUACGUAGCUCAGUUGACAGAGCAUUGGGCUAGUAUUCCAAAAGUCGUAGGUUCGAUUCCCACCGUGGCCA